rnacentral:rRNA from 1 species
CCUACGGGAGGCAGCAGUGAGGAAUAUUGGUCAAUGGACGAGAGUCUGAACCAGCCAAGUAGCGUGAAGGAUGACUGCCCUAUGGGUUGUAAACUUCUUUUAUAAAGGAAUAAAACGAGGCACGUGUGCCUUUUUGCAUGUACUUUAUGAAUAAGGAUCGGCUAACUCCGUGCCAGCAGCCGCGGUAAUACGGAGGAUCCGAGAGUUAUCCGGAUUUAUUGGGUUUAAAGGGAGCGUAGAUGGGUUGUUAAGUCAGUUGUGAAAGUUUGCGGCUCAACCGUAAAAUUGCAAUUGAUACUGGCAGUCGUGAGUACAGUUGAGGUAGGCGGAAUUCGUGGUGUAGCGGUGAAAUGCUUAGAUAUCACGAAGAACCCCGAUUGCGAAGGCAGCUUACUAAACUGUGACUGACAUUGAUGCUCGAAAGUGUGGGUAUCAAACAGGAUUAGAUACCCUGGUAGUC